AUACGGAGGAUGCGAGCGUUAUCCGGAUUUAUUGGGUUUAAAGGGAGCGUAGGCGGGAGCUUAAGUCAGCGGUUAAAUGGUGCGGCUCAACCGUGCCCUGCCGUUGAAACUGGGUUUCUUGAGAGUGCAAGAGGCGGAUGGAAUUCCUUGGGGAGGGGGGAAAUGCUUAGAUAUCAUGAAGAACUCCGAUUGCGAAGGCAGUCCGCUGGGGCACGUCUGACGCUGAUGCUCGAAGGUGCGGGAAUCAAACAGGAUUAGAUACCCUGGUAGUCCGCACGGUAAACGAUGAUUACCCGCUGUCGGCGGUAGACAGUCGGCGGCCAAGCGAAAGCGAUAAGUAAUCCACCUGGGGAGUACGCCGGCAACGGUGAAACUCAAAUGAAUUGGCGGGG
rnacentral:rRNA from 1 species